rnacentral:rRNA from 1 species
ACCGGCGCGACGGGUGACGUAACGCGUAUGACCAACCUACCUAUCAGGAAGGGAACUAACCGGCGAAAGUCGGAACUAAUACCGCAUAAAACAGGGGCACCGCAUGGUGAUAUUUGUUAAGAAUUCGCUGAUAGAUGGGCAUGCGUUCCAUUAGGUAGUUGGUGAGGUAACGGCUCACCAAGCCGACGAUGGAUAGGGAACUGAGAGGUUGGUCCCCCACACUGGUACUGAGACACGGACCAGACUCCUACGGGAGGCAGCAGUGAGGAAUAUUGGUCAAUGGGCGGGAGCCUGAACCAGCCAAGUCGCGUUGAAGGAAGAAGGAUCUAUGGUUCGUAAACUUCUUUUGCAGGGGAAUAAAGUGCAGGACGUGUCCUGUUUUGUAUGUACCCUGAGAAUAAGGAUCGGCUAACUCCGUGCCAGCAGCGGC